rnacentral:rRNA from 1 species
AGUUUGAUCCUGGCUCAGAACGAACGCUGGCGGCAUGCCUAACACAUGCAAGUCGAACGAUGCUUUCGGGCAUAGUGGCGCACGGGUGCGUAACGCGUGGGAAUCUGCCCUUUGGUCUGGGAUAACUGUUGGAAACGACAGCUAAUACCGGAUGAUGACGUAAGUCCAAAGAUUUAUCGCCGAGGGAUGAGCCCGCGUAGGAUUAGCUGGUUGGUGUGGUAAAGGCGCACCAAGGCGACGAUCCUUAGCUGGUCUGAGAGGAUGAUCAGCCACACUGGGACUGAGACACGGCCCAGACUCCUACGGGAGGCAGCAGUGGGGAAUAUUGGACAAUGGGCGCAAGCCUGAUCCAGCAAUGCCGCGUGAGUGAUGAAGGCCUUAGGGUUGUAAAGCUCUUUUACCCGGGAUGAUAAUGACAGUACCGGGAGAAUAAGCUCCGGCUAACUCCGUGCCAGCAGCCGCGGUAA